rnacentral:rRNA from 1 species
CAGUAGCCGCGGUAAUACGAAGGGGGCUAGCGUUGUUCGGAAUUACUGGGCGUAAAGCGCACGUAGGCGGAUCGGUCAGUCAGGGGUGAAAUCCCAGGGCUCAACCCUGGAACUGCCUUUGAUACUGUCGAUCUGGAGUAUGGAAGAGGUGAGUGGAAUUCCGAGUGUAGAGGUGAAAUUCGUAGAUAUUCGGAGGAACACCAGUGGCGAAGGCGGCUCACUGGUCCAUUACUGACGCUGAGGUGCGAAAGCGUGGGGAGCAAACAGGAUUAGAUACCCGCGUAGUCCCUGUCUCUUAUAC